AGGAACUCUUCGUGUGCGUGUUAGGGUUAGGAUUGUGAGAGAAUGCGAGAAAGAAAAAAAAGGGAGGACUUCAUGACUGCACUUAACCGGAGACUGGACCAGAUCGGAAAAGUUCGAACCAGCGAAGUCAAAGUAGAUGAUCGGUGUGGAGCGCGGAAGGCUUUUACCAUGGUCUCCGUCCACCGCAAUGCUGCUAUCAACGACCUCGCCCUACAUUCGUCCAAUCAACGCGCCAUCACCGUUGCCCGUGACAAUUGCCUUGCCGUCGUCAAUUUCGUCCGCGGCCGCUGCAACUGAUGCUUGCGCCUCAACAAGGAACUUACUCUGGUCAAGUUCAAUGCGCCCAGUGACCACUUUUUUAUGGUUGCGAAGGAGAAGGUUUUUGUCCACCAGACUGAGGAUGCACGCAUAUUGUUCGAAUUGGAAUGCUCCAAGCCCGUUCUAUGUGCUUCUUCAAAUUCUUGCCCUGUUUUCUCGAAUUAUCAUCGAAUAUCAAGUUGGUUAUUUUUAUUUUCUCUAUUUCUUCCUUUGGUGAUGCUGAUUUGUCUUGUAUGUUAAAAAUACCUAGGGUUUAGGUAGCAUUUGAUAAAGAAAUUUUGGUAUAUUGUCACUAGUUAUGUUUUUCGGGCGUCAAAUAUUUGUGAUGUUUUGCAGUGGGAAGAUUUUACACAGAUUUUGGAGACUAUUUUGAAGCAUCAAUGAACCGUGAGAAGUUCCCGGAGAAGGUACCCAAUUUAUAUUGUCCCAAGUCGAAACAAUGAAAAGGAAUUGGAAGCAUGCUUUCUCACUUACCAUACUCUGUCAUCAUCUUUCGAAGAGAUUAAUAUUUGAAGAGCCUGGUUGGAGUAAGAAAAAUAUUGUCAAGGAUUUCUAAGGAAACAUCAUAGGAUGCUUUGAACAACACACCUUGUCUGCUUCCUACAUGGAUUUCUAAGUUUUCUUCUCAAUAAGAGAAUGAUUGUGUUCUUGAAUAAGAGGGAAGGAUAUUCGCACGGUAAAGGUACUUUGGAAUGAAGACACACAGAAAAUGACUUGGGAAUUGGAAGAAUUUAUGAUAAAGGAAUAUUCAUAUCUCUUUUAUAAUGUUGCAGAUGCGGUUGAAAAAGCUUAGAGAUGAGAGAGAUGCGGGGAAAAACUUUCAGGGAUAUUUUGUAAAAAGAAUAAAUUUGUAUUGGAAAAAUUAUGUUGUGUAAAACUUAUAAGUUGAAAUUCGAAUUUAUGUUAAGUGGUGAAGACUAUAUUGUUUGAAGUUUGUAAGCUUGGUAUUGUACUUUGGGAGAAUUGAAAUAAAGUU